GACGUGAGGGCGCGAGCGUUGUCCGGAUUUAUUGGGCGUAAAGAGCUCGUAGGCGGCUUGUCGCGUCGACUGUGAAAACCCGAGGCUCAACUUCGGGCUUGCAGUCGAUACGGGCAGGCUAGAGUUCGGUAGGGGAGACUGGAAUUCCUGGUGUAGCGGUGAAAUGCGCAGAUAUCAGGAGGAACACCGAUGGCGAAGGCAGGUCUCUGGGCCGAUACUGACGCUGAGGCACGAAAGCGUGGGGAGCAAACAGG
rnacentral:rRNA from 1 species